rnacentral:rRNA from 1 species
AUUGAACGCUGGCGGCAGGCCUAACACAUGCAAGUCGAGCGGAUGAAGGGAGCUUGCUCCUGGAUUCAGCUGCGGACGGGUGAGUAAUGCCUAGGAAUCUGCCUGGUAGUGGGGGAUAACGUCCGGACACGGGCGCUAAUACCGCAUACGUCCUGAGUGAGAAAGUGGGGGAUCUUCGGACCUCACGCUAUCAGAUGAGCCUAGGUCGGAUUAGCUAGUUGGUGUGGUAAAGGCCUACCAAGGCGACGAUCCGUAACUGGUCUGAGAGGAUGAUCAGUCACACUGGAACUGAGACACGGUCCAGACUCCUACGGGAGGCAGCAGUGGGGAAUAUUGGACAAUGGGCGAAAGCCUGAUCCAGCCAUGCCGCGUGUGUGAAGAAGGUCUUCGGAUUGUAAAGCACUUUAAGUUGGGAGGAAGGGCAGUAAGUUAAUACCUUGCUGUUUUGACGUUACCAACAGAAUAAGCACCGGCUAACUUCGUG